rnacentral:lncRNA from 1 species
ACACACUGUUUGUUUAUUUCCCUCUGGGAACAAGCUGGGAAACUGUUAGUGUUGAGGAAAAUAAUAAUAAUUAAAAAAAAGUCUUAAGUGUUGACUCCACAAUUUCAGAGCUUGAUAAGUCCUUCUGAGUAUAGCAUGCCAUCACUUUUCUCAGCAGGGUAUAAUUACUCAUAACUUGAAGGUUUUAUCUCUGGGUUGCCUCUAAUAAAAUGGGGGCAAAAAUAAGGUAAAGCUGUUACUCACUGGAAGUGUAAAUGUUUAAUUAACUAUCACAUAUAAUUGUUUCAGUCUCUUGUGUGACAUUUGCACAGUCCAGGAAUUUGGGGUUGGGGGUAGGGAGAUCAUCUAGCAAAUUUAUGAAGAUUUAUAAAGUAGGGCUUACUUAAUGUAGCACACGCAUGUGUGCGCAUGCGUGUGUGUUUCAACUAUUGCACCUGAGGCUUUGUUUGGUUUUUAAUCUCACCUUACUUGGUACUAAUUUUCUCUAGGAACCCUUCAAAGUAUUUUUAAACUAUGAAAUAAUUAUUUCAUCCUUUGUUCAUCUUACAUUCCUUCCCUUGUAUAGGCAAAUGUCUCUUGUAUUUAGCAUUUACAUGUGGUGUAUCUGAUGUUACCUCGCAGGACCGAAAGUAGAGGAGGCAAACUGAAUUCUGCAUUGAUAAUCAGGAAUGCGUGUGUCACGGCUUCUUCCAAAAUAAUAUAGGCCAUUUAAAAACCUAUUUCAAAAUGCCUCUAAGGAGCCACCCUAUUUGUUCCUUCUAUCCUGGACCCAGACAACUUUAGAAGUUUCUAGGCAUUAUGGUUACAGGGCUAAGACCCUAUGACUCUCCAUCUGUGGUGGAGACUUUUUCUGGAAUAGAGACGGUUCUGGAGGUCUGAGAAGUAGGUGUUUUCUCUGGAUCUGUGGCAAGGCCCAGACAGAAUAUAUCCCGAAUGUAACCCAUACUGGGGAAAGCCUAAUUUGUAGUGUUGGCUAAUUUCCAUGGUUUAUAAUGCUGUCAUCAUAGCCAUAAGAGGCUCUUCUCUCUCUAUUCAGCAUUUCUUCAUGAUCAUCAAAUGUCAACAUCAUUUUUACCUCAGAAAUGUUGCUAUUGUUCCUCCUUAUAGCAGGAAAAUUCUUCCUUCAUACAAUUGUCUACCCUCUCUACCUUAGUCCCUUCAGGGCUCCACUUAGUCCCCCCACUCCUCAGAGAGGGCUUCAUUGACCACUCAUUAAUUNUUUUUUUUUUUUGCUUUUUUAGGGCUGCAUCUUCGACAUAUGGAGAUUCCCAGGCUAGGGGUUGAAUCAGAGCUGUAGCUGUUGGCAUACACCACAGCCAUAGCAACGCAGGAUCCAAGUCACAUCUGCAACCUACAUCACAGCUCACAGCAGUGUGCAUCCUUAACCCACUGAGCAAGGCCAGGGAUCAAACCUGCAUCCUCAUGGAUGCUAGUCAGAUUUGUUAACUUCUGAGCCAUGACAGGAACUCCCACACAUUAAUUUUUAUCAAAACUUUCCUUAAAAAAGACACAUGCACCCUCAUGUUCACCGUAGCACUAUUCACUAUAGCCAAGACAUGAAACAACCCAAAUGUCCAUUAACAGACAAUUGAAUUAUGAAAAUGUGGUAUAUAUACACAAUGGAAUACUACUCAGCCAUAACAAAGAAUAAAAUAAUGCCAUUUGCAGCAACAUGGAUGGAACUAGAGACACUCAUACUGAGUGAAGUUAAGUCAGAAAGAAAAAGACAAAUACCAUGUGAUAUCACUUAUAUCUGGAAUCUAAUAUAUGGCACAAAUGAACCUUUCCACAGAAAAGAAAAUCAUGAACUUGGAGAAUAGACUUGUGAUUCCCCUGGGAGGAGGGGGAUGGAUUGGGAGCUUGGGGUUAACAGAUGCAAACUAUUGCUUUUGGAAUGGACUAACAAUGAGAUCCUGCUGUGUAGCACUGAGCACUGUGUCUAGAUACUUACAACACAGCAUGACAAUGUGAGAAAAAAGAAUGUAUACGUAUAUGUGUAACUGGGUCCCCAUGCUACAGUGGAGGAAAAAAAAGUGUGUUGGUAGAAAUAACAAUAAAAAAUAAAUUUAAAAAAUUUUUAUCUACUUUUUCUUUUUCUUUUUUUUUUUUGUCUUUUUGCCAUUUCUUGGGCUGCUUCCACGCAUAUGGAGGUUCCCAGACUAGGGGUCUAAUCAGAGCUGUAGCUGCCAGCCUACACCAGAGCCACAGCAACGCGGGAUCCGAGCCUCUUCUGCGACCUACACCACAGUUCACGGCAAUGCCGGAUCCUUAACCCACUGAGCAAGGGCAGGGACCGAACCCGCAACCUCAUGGUUCCUAGUCGGAUUCAUUAACCACUGCGCCACGACGGGAACUCCUAUCUACUUUUUCUUCAAUGGACUUAUCAUGACUUGGAACUGUAUGUUGAUUUAUUUAUUAUUGGUGUCCUCCACUAGAAUAUAAACUAAGAAAUUAAUUGAUUUUCUUCAUUAUUAUAUCUCCAGUGCCUUGAAGAAAGCUGACAUGUAGUAGAUAUUCAGAAAUAAUUUUUGAAUUAUUAAAUAAACUGUGAUUUAAUCAAUAGUCAUGAGAUGAAGACUGCAAACACUUUGUACAAUUUUGGAAUAUUUUUAAUUUUAAUAGGAAUGGUUCAUUCUACUUGCCUUCCCAUUCUGCUUUCAUCUUUCUACCAUAGCCUCUGUUGACUGUAUGUGAGAACUGGGAACCUCUUGGAGAAAGGCACUCUCUCUUUGAAUUCCUCAUGCCUGGAAUAGAGUAGAAGCUCAAUAAAUAAAUACAGAUCGAGAGCAUUAACUCACCAUAUAUUCUCUUUUUCUCGUUAACUGUUUCAGGGAUGAUUAGCGAUAAAUUUGUAGGUUAGAGAAAAAGGGGUCUGUGCGCAUCUGUCAGUGCCGGCAAGAACUCGAGAGGUGAAAAAGAGUGUGUUUUGUUCCACAAACAGGCUGGAGGGAGAAUAGAAGAAAGUCAUGGGAUGAAGUAAAUUUUGGCAGCUGCCAAUGAGAAACAGCUAAAAGUCCCUGGAGUCUUGGGGUAAAGAAGAAGCAGCCCUGGGGAUGAACAGAUUAAUGGCUCCCAUGGAAACAUGUGGAUGCGAGGCAUUCCUAAAUAUAAGAUGUCAUAUUAAACCUCUAAUCAAUUGACCCUCCUGUGAUAAUCUCAAAGUUAACUAUUUCUGGGGAACCUGACAGAAGGCUUCACUGAGGCAAUGGGUUUUCUACAUCUGCUUUUCCUCUAAUGGAGCUAGAUCACUAAAUGAGGCUAAGAACUCCCUUAAUAAGGAUCCCAGACAGGGAAGGCAUUUACAGGCAUGUAGAUAUGUUGUUUGAUGUCAGCAAGGAAUUCUAACACACCUAUAAAGAGUCUACUGUUUUCAUGUUUUAGGACAAGUUGCAUAGAAAGAUGUGUACGAAAGUAAGAGUUUGAUUCUGUAACCAUGUAAGGAAAAGUCCAGGUGUGAUGUACCUUUGGUGUAUGUGAGUAGGUAUUGAGGGGAAGCUAUGUAUGAGGAAAAGAAGGAUGCUGAAUGAGUCAGAGGGAAGUCUCAUAACUCGAUAACUUACAGUGUAAUAGCCAUGGAGGAAGAUAUUUACCUUAAGAAGGAAAGGGAUAGGGAAAAUGCAAAGGUUUCAUGUUCUGCUGAGUCUUUGAUACUUUGAAAAAUGUACUGCUGACAUUUUGAGGCAAUAGGAAGAUCCCAGCAAUUGAGAAAGAAGAGUGGAGGUAGGGACCAGACAAAGAAGGAAGGGAAAGCUGCUUUAUUUCCCCCUGAUAAUUAGAGGAAGUUAGUACAAAAAAGCUCUUUAAACGUUCUGAAAUAUAAUCUCUUCAUUUUACUUCAUCUUUCUGGGUUAGGGUUUCUAUCUGUAAUGUACUUAAAGCUAUAGUGGAUAUUGGCAUUUAGGGCUUGAAUCCAGGAGGUCUUGGGUUUUUCAGCUAAACUAAUGUGGUACAAUCCACAUACCAGGACAAUAUGGAGAAAUUGUGACACAGGCCAAGGAGUUGAUGGAGAGCUAGAAGAUAGAGGAUUGAAGACAUUUAGAAAAACUAUGAAAACCAGAAAGAUCAGGGUAAGGACAUGCUACACUAGCUCACCCUCUGUUGUGUCUUUUAUUGUGCUAGGAAAGAUGGUCAUUGUUACUUAUAAAAAUCUCCUCCCCCAAAGUUGCUCUUCUUCCCCUCCCCCAAUCCCAGGAAGACUUUCAUGGAAAAUAGAACCUUUCUGUUAUGCUUACCCAGCUCUGUUCAGAGCCACAGGAUUGAAUACACUCAGAGGCAUAUCCAGCUAAUGCAAACCCUGCUAGCCAAAUAGUUUUUCCAGGCUGAGGGAUGAAGUCAGAUAUGAAGGAAAAGAGUAUAGGAAUAGAAAUGAUAAUUGAGGUCUUCUGAGAGUUAAGAGAGAGAUUAUUCAGUAUAGGAAGCAAAAAUGUCAAGAAAUGGGUUGCAGUCCUGUAAUUUCAUUGGACUAAUUGUGAGUCCUUGAAGCUCGAUUUCCUCUUUACAAAACGAAGGGAUUUGUCAUGAUGUCCUAAUGGUGCCAAUGUGAUGUAAUUAAGUCUAUUCAAGAAAUAAUCCUUAUCUUGAUUAGGUAAAUAGGACUUGAUUAAUUCCACUCUGAUUAACCACUGCCUCUCAACCUCUUCUAGAGGCAUUUUACCCAUUCUACCCAGCAAUUCACCAUCUUCUCCCAGCAGAGAUGAAAAAUGCCCCAGUCUCCUUCAUGAUAGAGAUCAAGCCAAGAUCUAAAUGCUGUAAAACAUAAAACACUUCUGCAGAUGGUUGUGGUUUGCCUUGCAAGUGGAAUGGCAUUGGUGGAGACAAGAUGAGGAGGGGAGAAAAGGAGGGGGGUAUAAAGGAGAGUUUCCUUUAAAACAUCAAAAAGACUUUAUAGAUCUUUUCUGCCCUUUCAUGAAGACUUCAUCUGGCAGCCAGAUUGCCUUAAUGGUCUGCCUAGAAAGACCCACCCUGGCCUGACAUAGCCAGACACACACUUUCCAGCUUUGCUUUGCUUCUUUGAUGCUGUCACAUGUUCUUCAUUUUCUACAUUUCAUUCAUUCUUUGCCUUUAAGCUAUAAGGAUAAAAGUGCCUGGCAUUAAAAAAAAAAUCAGUGUACAUUUUUUAAAGGGGCAGGCAUUUCAUGCAGCUUUGAUUUCCUUCUGGGAGAAAAUCAUUACUUUUCUUUAAAGGAGAAAUUAGAUUUUUUUCUGCUUCCUCUCCCUGCUUUCCACCCUUCACCCCAACGCUCCCAUUUUUCAGCAGUAAGAAAUAACACUGGGUUUAGUGCAGGAACGGGCUAGAGAAAUGAUUGUCUCCUAGAAAGCACUUAUGCCACUACAAUGAAUAAAAAAGCCUAAGCAUUCAUUUACUGCUAAACAAUGACGAAAGACAAUUGGAAUGUUUUAAAGGACUGCACUAUAUUCAACAUCUGGUAAACAUUGGUUGAGAUAGCUGUUUUUAAAACCAGGUGGUGUAGAGGAGGAACGAUAACCAGUAGAGUAUGAUUUUUAUAACCUUUGAAAUGUAUAAGAAGGUUACAUAGAGAGGUCUGAAGCAUUGUGUAUGAAGGAGCAUGUUAACAGAAACAGAGUAAAAACUCAUACUGCAAAGGAAACACUAAUACGAGAGAAUUCCUGUGUGUGGAAUACUCAUGUAAGUCACAAAAUGUGGCCACAGGGACACACUCUAGAUUUUCUCUCCAAAUUAAUGAGCCCAAUUUUAAAAAUAUGGAGUGAAUCUAUAGAAGAAGGACAAGUAGUAAUAUUAAGGAAUAAGAGUUGGCUAGAUGAGUGUCUAAAUACACACAGUGGGGGAAAAUAGGAAGUGAUAAGAUUUCCAGAUAGGAUAAAUGACUACAUCCAUAACAAGUAUUUCGAACCCAAAUGAAAGAAUAAUGUCUGGAACUGAUCCUUAGAUUUGAAUGUGGAAUAAUGCUGGAGAUAUAUGUGUAAUACACAAAAACAAAACAAAACAUUCCCCCAAACAUACAUAUUUCUAGAGGAAGAGGAAAAAUGAAGAAAUCUAUCACCCACCUAUUAAACUCCAGGAAAGGAAAUGGUGCCAAAUGUGGAAACUGGAAAAAAAAAAAUUAAAGGGAAAAUCUGCAAAGUUAAAUAAACUACAAGAAACCCCAAACCAUUCCAAAUACCUCAUUGGAAAUUCAUGAUAAAUGGCUUUAGAGGCACAAACAGGCCAAGAGCUGAUGACAGUAAAACAAAACUCUCUGAAUAACCGGCUGCGUCAGAAUAUCUCCUGUUGGAAGGAGCAAGAAAAAGCGUCUUUGGGAGAGGGGAAAACAAUUAGAAGAACAGGAUGAUCGACCAACCAGAGCAAGCACCAAAUACUUAAAAAGUAAACAUAGGAGGAUCCCAUGAAAGGUACUCAAAAUAUAAUAGUAUAUAUAUAUAAUACCUUUCAAUAAGGUAGCCUAGUCCUUGCUUGGAGCCUCUUUGAAGAUCACCCAGACCCUGUACAUCAAGGGACAGAAUCUUUUAGGGAAUUUGAAACACCAUUUGAAGGUCAGUAUAUGAACAGUGGGCUUAGGAGAAAAAAGGAAUAUCAGGAAUUCCUGUCUUGGUGCAGGAAAUGAAUCUGCCUAGGAAUCAGGAGGUUGUGGAUUCGAACCCUGGCUUCGCUCAGUGUGUUAAGGAUCCAGCAUUGCCGUCAUCUGUAGGUUGCAGAUUUGGCUCAGAUCUGGUGUUGCUGUGGCUCUGGUGUAGGCCAGCAGCAACAGCUCUGGUUAGACCCCUAACCUGGGAACC